rnacentral:rRNA from 1 species
AACGUAGGUGGCAAGCGUUAUCCGGAAUUACUGGGCGUAAAGGGUGUGCAGGCGGGGAAGCAAGGGGUGUUUGAAAUCUCCCAGCUUAACUGGGAUAGGUUAUGCCAGACUGCUUUUCUAGAGGACGAGAGAGGGGGGUGGAAUUCCGGGUGUAGUGGUGAAAUGCGUAGAGAUCCGGAGGAACCCCAGAGGCGAAGGCGGCGACCUGGGUCGAUACUGACGCUGAGGUGCGAAAGCGUGGGGAGCAAACAGG